rnacentral:rRNA from 1 species
UACGUAGGGUGCGAGCGUUGUCCGGAAUUAUUGGGCGUAAAGAGCUCGUAGGCGGCUUGUCGCGUCGGAUGUGAAAGCCCGGGGCUUAACUCCGGGUCUGCAUUCGAUACGGGCAGGCUAGAGUUCGGUAGGGGAGAUCGGAAUUCCCGGUGUAGCGGUGAAAUGCGCAGAUAUCGGGAAGAACACCCGUGGCGAAGGCGGUUCUCUGGGACGGUACUGACGCUGAGACGCGAAAGCGUGGGGAGCGAACAGG